GGUCGGUUUCUAUCUGUAAUUAAUUUCUCCCAGUACGAAAGGACAAGAGAAAUAAGGCCAACAUUUAUCAACGAGCCUUAGAAACAAGAUAUGAUAACAUCUUAAUAUCUUAAUUCAAUUUAUCCUACACUCUAGACAAGAGCU
rnacentral:rRNA from 1 species